CGAUUUAGCCUGCUAGUUGCGCGAGUUCAGACUCGCAGCAGAUAGCUCAGUAACACGUGGCCAAUUUACCCUGCAGACACGGACAACCUCGGGAAACUGAGGCUAAUCCGCGAUACCGAUCCCACGCUGGAAUGCCGGGAUCCACAAACGCUCCGGCGCUGCAGGAUGCGGCUGCGGCCGAUUAGGUAGACGGUGGGGUAACGGCCCACCGUGCCGAUAAUCGGUACGGGUUGUGAGAGCAAGAGCCCGGAGACGGAAUCUGAGACAAGAUUCCGGGCCCUACGGGGCGCAGCAGGCGCGAAACCUUUACACUGCACGCAAGUGCGAUAAGGGGACUCCGAGUGCGAGGGCAUAUAGUCCUCGCUUUUGAGAACCGUAAGGUGGUUCUCGAAUAAGAGCUGGGCAAGACCGGUGCCAGCCGCCGCGGUAAUACCGGCAGCUCAAGUGAUGGCCAAUCUUAUUGGGCCUAAAGCGUCCGUAGCUGGCCGUGAAAGUUCGUCGGGAAAUCCAUCCGCUCAACGGAUGGGCGUCCGGCGAAAACUUCACGGCUUGGGACCGGAAGGCUCGAGGGGUACGUCCGGGGUAGGAGUGAAAUCCUGUAAUCCUGGACGGACCGCCGAUGGCGAAAGCACCUCGAGAAGACGGAUCCGACAGUGAGGGACGAAAGCUAGGGUCUCGAACCGGAUUAGAUACCCGGGUAGUCCUAGCCGUAAACGAUGUUCACUAGGUGUGGCACAGGCUACGAGCCUGUGCUGUGCCCGUAGGGAAGCCGAGAAGUGACCCGCCUGGGAAAGUACGUCCGCAAGGAUGAAACUUAAAAGGA
rnacentral:rRNA from 1 species